CCCGCUUUUUUUGUUUUUUUUUUGUUUUUGAGACCGUUAUAGCUCAAUCUAGUUAGUUCAGGCACUAAAUGGUAAAUCUGUUAAAAUUUUGAAAUGUUUGCAUUGAUAGUUUUUGAUGUUUUUGCUGUUAAAUAGCUUGGUUAUAAGCUUAGAUUUGAUUGUGGACUAAAUUGUAAAGUAAAUUUAGUUAGUUUUAAAUUUAGGGAUUAAAAUAAAAAUAUUUUAAAAUUACAUGAAAAUUUCUAUAGUUUUUGAAUGUAGAGGCUGUAAAUGAAUAAGGAUAAAUUCGGCUAACAUGUUUUGGGCUUCAUUGAGAUAAAUGUAUAAGUUUCGAUUUUAGGAACUAAAUUGAAUAAAAAGGUAAAAGUUUAAGGUAAUAAUGUAAAAUGUUAUUAAAUGGUCAAAUGCAUGUGUUUAGAUAUUUUAAGGUAUUUGAAAUGGUUAAUUGAGUUAAAUUAUUAUAUAGAUAAAAAGAACGAAUCAAUCGAUUGAUAAACGCGAAAAAAGUAAAAAUUGCCUAAAAGUCCUUGGUGUCGUAUUCGUUGCCAAUUUUGAUUAGGUCAAUUUCAUAUGAGACAUAAUUUUUUAAUGACAGUUUAUUAUUGUAUUAUUUAAUUGUUUGAUAGUUAAUUAUUGAAAUACAAUAAUUGUUGGCAUCGAAAGAACUAUAGUGGAAAGUACAAUUUAUGUGGCUAAUACGAAUAGUUAUAUGAUAUGGAAUGGUUAUGAAAUAUUAAUUGGUUUAAGUUACAAAUAUAUGGUUAUUUGAUAUGUGACUGGAAUGAUUAAGUGUAUGAUUAUUUGAUAUAUGUACAAAAAUAUUCAAAAGAAUGGAAAAAUUAAAUAAGUGAUAAAGGGCCCAUGUGAUUUUAGUGAAUAGUUAGGAUACAAAUGACAUGUCAUUAGGGUCUUUUAUAGUAGGUACUAUGUAUCAGUGGUGGAUACCUUAUCGAUGGCUAAGAUCCUGCAUAUAUUGCAGAUUCUUCAUGACCCGUGUGAGUAGCAUCGUGUAACGAUUAAUGUCUCGACUUAUUGGAUACCUUGCCGAUGGUUAAGGUUCUGCAUGUAUUACAGGUUCUUCACAGCUCAUGUGAGCAACAUCGUGUAAUGGUUAAUGCUUGAUUCAUAGCUCGUGUAAGCAUUAUUAUCCUGUGGAUCCGAGGUAUAUUCGCUAUAGUUCUCUAGGGGAUAAAAGUGUAACAACCUGAUUUUUAGUGGUGUCGAAAAUAGUGGUUCCAGGACCACAAAUUUGACGAGUGAGUCCGUAAAUAUUAUUAUUUUUAUAUUUAUUAGUCAAUAUAGUGUUAUAACAAUUUUUAUUUGAUAAUUUAUGUUAUUUGAAUGAAUAAUUAGGUUCAAGUGGUAUAUUCUUAAAGUUAAGUGGUUUUAAAAAAGGAGGUAUUGAUACCUUGUUUCUAUAAUCGAACUCAAAAUAUUUUAUUAAAUAUUUACGAGUGUUAUGAGUGUCAUAUUAAAAUUUGGUUAAGACAUUUUAACGUUUAAAUAUUAAUUAAAUGAAAAGGACUAAUUUGUAAAAGUCGUAAAAGUUAAUUUCCAUUUAUUUAAGGUGUUAAAUUAAUAAUAUUAUAGGGUUAGAGGAUUUAUUAGGAAGAUUGACCUUUGGUUGUUUAAAUGGACGGUUAUUACAUAUAUUUUAUAUUUAAUAUAUGUUAUUUUAAUGGCAAAAUGGUUAUUUCGCAAAGAAAAAUAAUAUUAACUUAAACAAAGAGUAAAACAAUUGCUAUCAUCUUGUUCUUUCAACAUUCCUAGCCGAAUAAGCAUUGUUGAAUAAAAGAGGUUCGGUCAAGCAUUUCUCCUUGCAUGGUUAUGAGUUUGAGGUUCAUUUUUAGUUAUUUUUAUGUUUUUGAACUCGUAUUAGCUUAAUCUAGCUAGCCUGAGGGUCAAUUCGUAAAAUUAUUAAAAGUUUAGGGACUUACCAUGAAUGAGUUUGAUGUGUUUUUGAAUUUAGUUGAUGAAUUAUUAAAGCUAGUAGCUAGAUAUAAGUAUUUUGAUAAGUGAUUUUUAGUGAUUUUGAAUGUUAGGGAUUAAAUUGUUUAAAUAGAAAAAUUUAAGGGAAAUAAUGUAAAUUGGCAAAAGAUGUGGGAAUUUUUGACCCCUAAGAAAAUCGACUAAUAUUGGUUCGCUUUUAAAAUGGUAAAUUUUCAAGUUACGAGAUUAGGGGCUAAAUUGCACAAAAGUUAAAAUGUUAUGGGUAAUUUUAUAAUUUCACAAUAAAGUGGGUUAUAAGCUAGAAUUAAUGAUAUUAAGUUAAUUGGAUUAUUAAUUGAAUAAAAAAUUUUAUUAGACCAAGAAACGAACCAAAUGGAUCUAAACCGAGGAAAAAUUAAAGUGUCAAACUUCGUCAACUUCGUUUUUACAACUGUUAUUGUCGAGGUAAGUUCGUAUCUUGAUUAAGUCAAUUAGUUAUUGUUUCAGUUGUUUAAUAUCUAAUUGAUUAUAUAUGAAUCGAGUUCGUUAGCUUGAAGGAAAUGAUUAAGACCAUGUUGAAAGACACUAUGGCACCAGACUAGAAACAAGUGAGACCAUAGCUGAAGACAUUAUGACAUCACGAUUCUAUCGAGUAAGACCAUGGCUGAAAGAUGUUAUGGAAUCACGAUUCUAACGAGUAAGGCUAUAGUUGAAAGAUAUUAUGGCAACACGACGAAAAAUGAAUAAGACCAUGGUUGAAAGACAUCAUGGCACCCUCCGAUCAUUUGCUACUUACGUAACACGUUUUAGGUGAGAUUGUCGGAAAGCUCGACCGGUUGGAAUCAAGUUAGAGUACAUUCACAAUAUCCAUCCUUUAUCUCUGUAUAAGAUUUGGAUAUAUUGAUAUCGAGCUAUAAAUUACAUGAACUAGGAGCCCUUAAGUUAUUUUGUUUAUAAUGAUGUUGUUUAUAAGUUAGUUUGAGUAAACUUUGUGGUUAUAAAUGUUUAGUAUCUUUGGUGUAUGUUUGAAACUUGAUGUGUUUUUGGUGAUUAGCUAAA